CCUACGGGAGGCAGCAGUGAGGAAUAUUGGUCAAUGGACGAGAGUCUGAACCAGCCAAGUAGCGUGAAGGAUGACUGCCCUAUGGGUUGUAAACUUCUUUUAUAUGGGAAUAAAAUGUUCCACGUGUGGGAUUUUGUAUGUACCAUAUGAAUAAGGAUCGGCUAACUCCGUGCCAGCAGCCGCGGUAAUACGGAGGAUCCGAGCGUUAUCCGGAUUUAUUGGGUUUAAAGGGAGCGUAGGUGGAUUGUUAAGUCAGUUGUGAAAGUUUGCGGCUCAACCGUAAAAUUGCAGUUGAAACUGGCAGUCUUGAGUACGGUAGAGGUGGGCGGAAUUCGUGGUGUAGCGGUGAAAUGCUUAGAUAUCACGAAGAACUCCGAUUGCGAAGGCAGUUCACUGGACUGCAACUGACACUGAAGCUCGAAAGUGUGGGUAUCAAACAGGAUUAGAUACCCCUGUAGUC
rnacentral:rRNA from 1 species